ACCCUUAUCUGGAAGGGGAGAUUCCAUCAUCACAAAGGUGGUUUUCGCAGGACGAGGCUUAUCUAUCGCACUCCGGAUGUGCUGACCCCUGAGAUUUCCGCAAAUGUGGGAAACUCGAAUGCACAAUUUGUGGUAGUGGGGGACUAUGUUUCCACUUUCCCCUG